rnacentral:rRNA from 1 species
UGGGGAAUAUUGGACAAUGGGCGAAAGCCUGAUCCAGCCAUGCCGCGUGUGUGAAGAAGGUCUUCGGAUUGUAAAGCACUUUAAGUUGGGAGGAAGGGCAGUUACCUAAUACGUAUCUGUUUUGACGUUACCGACAGAAUAAGCACCGGCUAACUCUGUGCCAGCAGCCGCGGUAAUACAGAGGGUGCAAGCGUUAAUCGGAAUUACUGGGCGUAAAGCG